ensembl:lincRNA
UUGAGAACCACUGGUAUAGAUAGAUAGUUAGGCCUUGUCUGUGUCAGGUUUUUCCUUUUUCAGCUAAUGGAGAGCAGGCAGAAGAGGGAGACUCAAAAGAGCAUCGGUGGACAUUUAUCUAGAAAAUGCUGGAGAACAGCAGAUUGGAGUGGAGCAGAAGAAGGAGACUCACAAGCGGAAUGGUGGAGAUAUACUGCAAGACCUGGAGCUCAGGAAGCAGGUUGGCAUGGAGCAUGUGGAGGAACAGGGAAACGCACCUUAGUAAUGACAAGUGCAUCGUAAUAAAUUAGAUACAGA